rnacentral:misc_RNA from 1 species
CGAGUUUACAACUCCCAAACCCCUGUGAACAUACCAAUUGUUGCCUCGGCGGAUCAGCCCGCUCCCGGUAAAACGGGACGGCCCGCCAGAGGACCCCUAAACUCUGUUUCUAUAUGUAACUUCUGAGUAAAACCAUAAAUAAAUCA